rnacentral:rRNA from 1 species
AGGACGAACGCUGGCGGCGUGCCUAACACAUGCAAGUCGAGCGAGGAGAUCCUUCGGGAUGAUCCUAGCGGCGGACGGGUGAGUAACACGUGGGCAACCUGCCUCAUAGAGAGGAAUAGCCUUCCGAAAGGGAGAUUAAUACCUCAUAACAUUGCAGUUUCGCAUGAAACAGCAAUUAAAGGAGCAAUCCGCUAUGAGAUGGGCCCGCGGCGCAUUAGCUAGUUGGUGAGGUAACGGCUCACCAAGGCGACGAUGCGUAGCCGACCUGAGAGGGUGAUCGGCCACAUUGGGACUGAGACACGGCCCAGACUCCUACGGGAGGCAGCAGUGGGGAAUAUUGCACAAUGGGGGAAACCCUGAUGCAGCAACGCCGCGUGAGUGAUGACGGCCUUCGGGUUGUAAAGCUCUGUCUUCAGGGACGAUAAUGACGGUACCUGAGGAGGAAGCCACGGCUAACUACGUGCCAGCCGCCGC